UACCCUAUUAUUUUAAAUGUAAAAUUAUACUAGAUUAGUAUUAGUUAAGUUCUUGAAAAUUAAAGAUUUUGGCGGUUUUUUAGUCUAUUCAGAGGAACCUGUCCUAUAAUCGAUAGUCCACGAUUUUAAUAACUUUUUUUAUAGUUUGUAUAUCGUCGUAGUUAGAAUAUUCUAAAAGGAUUUAAAUUUUCAAGAAUUAUUUUUUAAAAUAGAUCAGAUCAAGGUAUAGCUUAUAGAAAAGAAGAGAUGGGUUACAUUAAUUUUAAUUAUGAAUUAUUUUUUUAUAAAGAAUAUGAAUUUGGAUUUGAAUGUAAUUUUAUAUAUUUAGAUAGAAUGAUUAAAGCUCUAAAAUAUGUACAUAUCGCC
rnacentral:rRNA from 1 species